UACGUAGGGUGCGAGCGUUGUCCGGAAUUAUUGGGCGUAAAGAGCUCGUAGGCGGUCUGUCGCGUCGGUCGUGAAAACUUGGGGCUUAACCCUGAGCUUGCGGUCGAUACGGGCAUGACUGGAGUUCGGCAGGGGAGACUGGAAUUCCUGGUGUAGCGGUGAAAUGCGCAGAUAUCAGGAAGAACACCCGUGGCUAAGGCGGUUCUCUAGUACGGUACUGACGCUGAGACGCGAAAGCGUGGGGAGCGAACAGG
rnacentral:rRNA from 1 species